rnacentral:lncRNA from 1 species
UUAAACAAUCCUCUUCAUUUUCUCUCUUCCUCUAACUUCCUAUUUCUUCCUUAAUUACUCAAUUCCUCUUACUUUCUCAGGUUGCCUGGUACUGCAAAGUACUAGACUCAGAUUUAAGACCUUGGUCCUAUAGGGGUAGGCACAGUCCUUGACGAUAGUAUUCUGUAUUAGACGAUGAAAAGGUUUUUGUACUCAUACGUACGAUUCCUCACGUAUGCUUGUUCGAUUUUGAUCAAGGCAAGUAUACGCGAAUUUACUCAUGUAUAUCAACGUGGGCACACAAUAACCUAGCCGACCAGUGAUAUUUCUAACCAUCCAGGUUAAUAUGCGUGCAGUCAUAGUGAUAUUUAUGAUUGCAUGGUAAAAUGCGGACGUACUCUGUUAACAUUGUAGCUCGUCGGAUUGAAGAAAGAAAGGAAGAAGGAGAUGAACAGUGUAAAAGGAAAGAGAAGAGAGAAAAAAUCUGAAAUGUAUUGAAAUGAUUUUCUUCUCGUUCUGUCUCGAAGCUUCCGCUUCUCUAUAUACAAACCAAUUAAAAAAUGUAAUGUGUGUGUGUGAAAUUACAUGUGUGCCCCUCACUCCUAUACAAACCAAUACAACAAAUAAAUAUAGCAGCUACCCUUGGGCUGCUAUUGUCUUGGGCUGCUGCUAUUGUCGUGGGCUGACUGCUGAAGAGGCCCAACA